rnacentral:rRNA from 1 species
GGCGCAGGCGGAGAUGUAAGCCAGACGUGAAAGCCCGGGGCUCAACCCCGGAAUUGCAUUUGGAACUACAUUUCUUGAGGAUAGGCGGAGAAAACGGAAUUCUGCAUGUAGCGGUGAAAUGCGUAGAUAUGCAGAAGAACACCGGUGGCGAAGGCGGUUUUCCAGCUUAUUCCUGACGCUGAGGCCCGAAAGCUAGGGGAGCGAACA